rnacentral:rRNA from 1 species
UUCCUACGGGGCGCAGCAGUGGGGAGUAUUGCACAAUGGGGGAAACCCUGAUGCAGCGACGCCGCGUGAGCGAUGAAGUAUUUCGGUAUGUAAAGCUCUAUCAGCAGGGAAGAAAAUGACGGUACCUGACUAAGAAGCCCUGGCUAACUACGUGCUAGCAGCCGCGGUAAUACGUAGGUGGCGAGCGUUAUCCGGAAUGAUUGGGCGUAAAGGGUGCGCAGGCGGUCCUGCAAGUCUGGAGUGAAACGCAUGAGCUCAACUCAUGCAUGGCUUUGGAAACUGGAGGACUGGAGAGCAGGAGAGGG